GCGCGUGUGGUCUAGUGCCUAUGACACUUCCUUGCCAUGGAAGAGAUCGCGGGUUGAAGUCCCGCCACGCGCUCCA
rnacentral:tRNA from 1 species